UUGCUCACUUCAGCAGCAUAUAUCCUAAAACUGGAACAAUAUGGAGAAGAUUAGCGUGGCCCCUGCACAAGGAUGACGCACAAAUUCAUGAAGUGUUCCAUAUUUUU
rnacentral:snRNA from 1 species